GGCAAGUGCUCUCUAUCACCCAAAGUGCAAGAAAAAGUGAAAACGUGUCACACUAAAAAAAGUGCACAAAGAUGCGGUCUAUCGCUAAGCCCUUCUCCAACAGGAGAGAGGCCCCCCAACAAACCUACCCUUCACCUCCGGGCCAAAAGGCACCUGCAAGGAUCCAGGUCCGAUGGCUCCUGUGCAGACUGAUCUGUUGCCAUAGUUAUAUGCUACAAUCAAAACCUAUACAGACUGAUCCUACAGUCAUACCCCCUCUAGCUCCUCCUACUUCUUACUAAUAUACUAUAGGGAAGAUUUUAAGUCGAUUCUCCAGCUGAAAGAUUAUUAAUCUCCUAAAGAGCAUAAACAUAAAAAAAAAAAAAAAUCACUUUUUGCUCUAAUUUUCUACCCACGACCCUCAUUAAUGGCACACGCAUGCAGCCCUGCUCCCUGGAGGGUUGGAUGACACUUUUGCUGUGCUUGUUGACCCACCAGAUGGUCCAUGAUCAUAAAUGAUGUAGACGCUUUGUAAGUAUGAGCAGUUGUUACAACACCUUUUUAUUAGUUCCUCGUGGCUUUCCUUUAGGUUGGUAAGUAAUCUCCAGUGGCCGAGUAGCCAUCAAUGAUAUGCACCCCAGCUUUUGAUCCCAUUUUUUUUUUCUUUUUAUCUACAGACCUCAAUUGAAUCUGUAAACAGACAUUGAUUUGUCCCUAAUGACCUCAUCCUGUGAUUAUUAUCAUGAUCUGAUUUCAUUACCAAAAAAAGAGGGAAAGAGUCUUGAGCCUAUUGGCACUUUAAUUUAAUUUAUAGCUGAUACUUUGUCUUCUUAUUAAGAUGACCCCGAAUAGUCAGAAUGUAAAGAAUUCAUAUAAUUUAUUCUCCUUAUCUAUUGCCUUGAGAUCUUAAUCUUAACAUCUCACUACAAAAUCUAAUUAUAAAACUCUAAUAAAAAUCCAUCCAAGUGAUAGCUUCCAUUAUUAAAGGUACGUAUCACUAAGCAUACAGCAGUGCUUCAAAUUUUAUAGGGGGGAAUUUAUCAUUGAUGUAGUACCUAUAUUUUAGUUUCUUUUUUGCCAUUUGAAACUUUUUUUUACAUAUUUAUUAUAUAUUUGGGCCAUUUUUGAGUACAUUUGCACCAUGCUCAACAGUUUUGAUUUCUUAUAGCUGUUGGGGUCAUGGCUUAAAGUUUUUAAGACAUAUUCAUUAGUGGCUUUUUGGAAAGCUGCAAAAGUUUUGCACAACCCCACUCCACUCAAUGGCAAAAAAGUGACGUGAAAAAAUUUGCUAAAUUUAUAAAAUAUUUCGCGACAAUAUGCAUAAAAAAAAUUCCCUACAUAGUAUAUACACUGCUCUAUUUACUGAGUUUUCAGUUGAUUUACAAUAUACUAUAGUAUAUUCUGUUUAUUUAUGUUUAUUUUAUAUUCUAAAUACUCUUGUUCAGUGAUAUAGUAAGAAAAAAGAGUGGUAGAGAGGCUCCUAUUGACCUGGCAACCUGAGACUCGAGCUGCCUAAAUAACACCUAUACCCCGGUGCCAAAAAAUGUGAUAUAGAAUACAGAAAUUGGGGCUCAGAGUCGUGAAUGUUAGGAGAACGUAUGUUUAUUUCAGUAUAUAAUGUAUAAAGUUAGUAUACUUGUGAACUGUGAAUCACAGGGCCCUUGUGAAUCAACAGAAACACAAAAUGGUUGUUCAAUGGUUAAUACAAUAAAAUUAAAUUCAUGGCAAAUAAAAAGGGUUAAUACAAUAAAAUGUGGCUUUUAAAAUACAUAAAAUAAUCCUUUAAAUAAGUGUCCACACAUCUACCUAUAGAUUUCUGUAAUAAACAUACUUGUUAUUUGAUGCUUUUAGGUUGGUAAUUCUAACGUGUGAUGGUUUUUCUUCAUAAACUAUUCUUGUAGAGUGGCGUUAGUCUAUGCAUGACCAAACCGGGCUGUUAGAGGACAAAUAAAUAUGAAAACCGAUGGAGAAAAACAAUGGAUAAAAAGACGCGUAUGAUUAAACGGUUAAGGACACUAAUUAAAAACCUGAUUUGAAAAAGGCAAUUUUCUGCAUAGGGUCUGGGUUGCCAAUUGACCCAGUUUAUGAAAUAAGACUUUAGGCCAGGACAGCAUUACAUCCAUCACCAGGCACGCUGGUGCUUAAUUGUAAACCUGUUUUUUAUGCUAAGUAUUUGUACUCCCUAAUUUGCUCAUAUAAAUACUUGCAUGUCUAUUGCUCAUUAAGCAAAUUGGGGCAAAACGAGACAUCUUAAAACAGCUUAAUUUGCAUAAGCUGAUCUAGGUCCUGCAAAUAGAGAGGCUUAUGCAAAUUAAUUUUUGCUGUAAAUGUAAAUGCCCUAUUUUUGGUUUACUUGGUGUAUUUUCCUUUAUUAUGUCAUGGUGAACGGUAAAUAAUAGUUUUUAGGCAGAGUACAUUUUAUGUUGAUAUUUACCAUUAGUGAACGCUACAGUUAUUCUUUAGUCAUUUUAUGAUAAUAAAUUCUUUGCUGACGCUGGGAUUUGAGUCAUAAUCAUUAACAGAUGAUGAAUGUUGGCACUUGGAAGCAAUGUAAAACAGGCAUGCCAAUGAUUUAUUGUUGCCUACUACAGUAUUUAGCUAUUAUUUUCUUUAAGUAAUAAAUGCAUACUGUUGCUAGUGGAUUUAAUGGAAUCUUUAUUUUCACACUAUUUGAAGGAACAAAACCAACAUUUCAUGGGACAAAUUAUUGAUAC